ncrna:unclassified sequences RT-14 RNA
CUCUAAUACAAUUUCUAGAUUACAUGUUUUACGGAAUAUAUACAAUGAAGGUAUUAGUAUUAAAGAGAUUUAUUCCUUCCUAAUUAAGGUAAAAACGAAUCAGCAAAUUGCAUAUUAGUAAACUUGAAACAAGGAGGAAUAUAUGCAAAUUGU